rfam:Sarcophilus harrisii ctg7180002398601, whole genome shotgun sequence.
AUUAAGAUGGCAGAGCCGGUAAUUGCAUAAAGCUUAAGCCUUUACUCCCAGAGGUUCAAACCCUCUUCUUAAUA